GACGAACGCUGGCGGCGUGCUUAACACAUGCAAGUCGAACGGAAAGGCCCUGCUUUUGUGGGGUGCUCGAGUGGCGAACGGGUGAGUAACACGUGAGUAACCUGCCCUUGACUUUGGGAUAACUUCAGGAAACUGGGGCUAAUACCGGAUAGGAGCUCCUGCUGCAUGGUGGGGGUUGGAAAGUUUCGGCGGUUGGGGAUGGACUCGCGGCUUAUCAGCUUGUUGGUGGGGUAGUGGCUUACCAAGGCUUUGACGGGUAGCCGGCCUGAGAGGGUGACCGGCCAAAUUGGGAACGAGAUUCGGCCCCGACUCCUACGGGAGGCAGCCGUGGGGAAUAUUGCACAAUGGGCGGAAGCCUGAUGCAGCAACGCCGCGUGCGGGAUGACGGCCUUCGGGUUGUAAACCGCUUUCGCCUGUGACGAAGCGUGAGUGACGGUAAUGGGUAAAGAAGCACCGGCUAACUACGUG
rnacentral:rRNA from 1 species